ACGAACGCUGGCGGCACGCUUAACACAUGCAAGUCGAACGAGAGAAGAGAAGCUUGCUUUUCUGAUCUAGUGGCGGACGGGUGAGUAACACGUGAGCAAUCUGCCUUUCAGAGGGGGAUACCGAUUGGAAACGAUCGUUAAUACCGCAUAACAUAAUUGAACCGCAUGAUUUGAUUAUCAAAGAUUUAUCGCUGAAAGAUGAGCUCGCGUCUGAUUAGCUAGUUGGUAAGGUAACGGCUUACCAAGGCGACGAUCAGUAGCCGGACUGAGAGGUUGAUCGGCCACAUUGGGACUGAGACACGGCCCAGACUCCUACGGGAGGCAGCAGUGGGGAAUAUUGCACAAUGGAGGAAACUCUGAUGCAGCGAUGCCGCGUGAGGGAAGAAGGUUUUAGGAUUGUAAACCUCUGUCUUCAGGGACGAAAAAAGACGGUACCUGAGGAGGAAGCUCCGGCUAACUACGUGCCAGCAGCCGCGGUAAUACGUAGGGAGCGAGCGUUGUCCGGAAUUACUGGGUGUAAAGGGAGCGUAGGCGGGAUCGCAAGUCAGAUGUGAAAACUAUGGGCUUAACCCAUAAACUGCAUUUGAAACUGUGGUUCUUGGGUGAAGUAGAGGUAAGCGGAAUUCCUAGUGUAGCGGUGAAAUGCGUAGAUAUUAGGAGGAACAUCAGUGGCGAAGGCGGCUUACUGGGCUUUAACUGACGCUGAGGCUCGAAAGCGUGGGGAGCAAACAGGAUUAGAUACCCUGGUAGUCCACGCCGUAAACGAUGAUUACUAGGUGUGGGGGGACUGACCCCUUCCGUGCCGCAGCAAACGCAAUAAGUAAUCCACCUGGGGAGUACGACCGCAAGGUUGAAACUCAAAGGAAUUGACGGGGGCCCGCACAAGCAGUGGAGUAUGUGGAUUAAUUCGAAGCAACGCGAAGAACCUUACCAGGUCUUGACAUCGUAUGCAUAGCUCAGAGAUGAGUGAAAUCUCUUCGGAGACAUAUAGACAGGUGGUGCAUGGUUGUCGUCAGCUCGUGUCGUGAGAUGUUGGGUUAAGUCCCGCAACGAGCGCAACCCUUACUGUUAGUUGCUACGCAAGAGCACUCUAGCAGGACUGCCGUUGACAAAACGGAGGAAGGUGGGGAUGACGUCAAAUCAUCAUGCCCCUUAUGACCUGGGCCUCACACGUACUACAAUGGCUGUCAACAGAGGGAAGCAAAGCCGCGAGGUGGAGCAAACCCCUAAAAGCAGUCUUAGUUCGGAUUGUAGGCUGCAACCCGCCUACAUGAAGUCGGAAUUGCUAGUAAUCGCAGAUCAGCAUGCUGCGGUGAAUACGUUCCCGGGCCUUGUACACACCGCCCGUCACGCCAUGGGAGUCGGUAACACCCGAAGCCUGUAGUCUAACCGCAAGGAGGACGCAGUCGAAGGUGGGAUUGAUGACUGGGGUG
rnacentral:rRNA from 1 species